CACCGCUAUUAGGAUACGCUUAAGCCAUGCGAGUCAAAGAGCAAUCUUGGCGCACCGCUCAGUAACACGUGGACAAUCUACCCUUCGGUGGGGGAUAAUCUUGGGAAACUGAGAAUAAUACCCCAUAGGUCUAGGAUGCUGGAAUGCUUCUAAACUAAAAGUUCCGACGCCGAAGGAUGAGUCUGCGGCCUAUCAGGUUGUAACAAGUGUAACGCACUUGUUAGCCUACAACGGGUACGGGCCAUGAGAGUGGUUGCCCGGAGAUGGACUCUGAGACAUGAGUCCAGGCCCUACGGGGCGCAGCAGGCGCGAAAACUUCGCAAUGUGCGCAAGCACGACGAGGGAAUCCUAAGUGCCUAUGCUUUGCAUAGGCUGUUCUCCUGUCUAAAAAACAGGGGGAGUAAGGGCUGGGUAAGACGGGUGCCAGCCGCCGCGGUAAUACCCGCAGCCCAAGUGGUGGUCGUUAUUAUUGGGUUUAAAACGUCCGUAGCUGGUCUAGUAAAUUCCUGGGUAAAUCGAAUUGCUUAACAAUUCGAAUUCCGGGUAGACUGCUGGACUUGGGAUCGGAAGAGGUCAGAAGUACUUCUGGGGUAGGGGUNAAAUCCUGUAAUCCUGGAGGGACUAUCAGUGGCGAAGGCGUCUGACUAGAACGGAUCCGACAGUAAGGGACGAAGCCCUGGGNCGCAAACGGGAUUAGAUACCCCGGUAGUCCAGGGUGUAAACGCUGUAGNCUUGGUGUUGGGGGUNCUACGAGGACAUCCAGUGCCGGAGAGAAAUUGUUAAGCCUACUACCUGGGGAGUACGGUCGCAAGACUGAAACUUAAAGGAAUUGGCGGGGGAGCACCGCAACGGGUGGAGCGUGCGGUUUAAUUGGAUUCAACGCCGGAAAACUCACCGGGAGCGACGGUUAUAUGAAGGCCAGGCUAAUGACUUUGCCUAAUUUUCCGAGAGGUGGUGCAUGGCCGUCGUCAGUUCGUACCGUAAGGCAUUCUGUUAAGUCAGAUAACGAACGAGACCCCUACCUUUAGUUACUAAUGGCUUUUCCGAAAGUCAAGGACGCUAGAGGGACCGCUGGCGCUAAGUCAGAGGAAGGAGGGGGCUACGGUAGGUCAGUACGCCCCGAAUCUCCCGGGCUACACGCGCGCUACAAAGGUUGGGACAAUGGGCUACAACCUCGAAAGAGGAAGUUAAUCCCGAAACCCAGUAACCAUAGUUCGGAUUGAGGGCUGCAACCCGCCCUCAUGAAGCUGGAAUCCGUAGUAAUCGCCUGUCAACAUCAGGCGGUGAAUAUGCCCCUGCUCCUUGCACACACCGCCCGUCAAACCACCCGAGUUGGGUUUGAGUGAGGGUAAGGUUUUUGCUUUGCUCGAACUCGAAUUCAGCAAGGAGGGUU
rnacentral:rRNA from 1 species